ensembl:lncRNA
GUUUAACUGGGAGGCACUGGUAGUUUAACUGGGAGGCACUGGUAGUUUGACUGGGAGGCAGUGGUAGUUUAACUGGGAGGCACUGGUAGUUUGACUGGGAGGCAGUGGUAGUUUAACUGGGAGGCACUGGUAGUUUAACUGGGAGGCACUGGUAGUUUGACUGGGAGGCAGACACUGGUAGUUUGACUGGGAGGCAGACACAGUGGUAGUUUAACUGGGAGGCAGACACAGUGGUAGUUUAACUGGGAGGCAGUGGUAGUUUGACUGGGAGGCAGUGGUAGUUUAACUGGGAGGCAGGCACUGGUAGUUUGACUGGGAGGCAGACACUGGUAGUUUGACUGGGAGGCACUGGUAGUUUAACUGGGAGGCACUGGUAGUUUGACUGGGAGGCAGACACUGGUAGUUUGACUGGGAGGCAGACACAGUGGUAGUUUAACUGGGAGGCAGACACAGUGGUAGUUUAACUGGGAGGCAGUGGUAGUUUGACUGGGAGGCAGUGGUAGUUUAACUGGGAGGCAGGCACUGGUAGUUUGACUGGGAGGCAGACACUGGUAGUUUGACUGGGAGGCACUGGUAGUUUGACUGGGAGGCAGUGGUAGUUUGACUGGGAGGCAGUGGUAGUUUAACUGGGAGGCAGACACAGUGGUAGUUUAACUGGGAGGCAGUGGUAGUUUGACUGGGAGGCAGUGGUAGUUUAACUGGGAGGCACUGGUAGUUUAACUGGGAGGCACUGGUAGUUUAACUGGGAGGCAGUGGUAGUUUAACUGGGAGGCACUGGUAGUUUAACUGGGAGGCAGUGGUAGUUUGACUGGGAGGCACUGGUAGUUUAACUGGGAGGCACUGGUAGUUUGAC